rnacentral:lncRNA from 1 species
UCUGUUUAAAAUUUAAAACCGAAUAUUCAAAACUUCUAUCCAUACGUUACAGUACUGAUUACAAUACUUACAAAUAAUACAUAAAUAUAUAUACAUCAUACCAAUAUACAAACUUCACAUAUCAAAACAACUAUCCCUCUUGCAAAAAUUGCUAGAAAUAAAGGCGAGGAAAAAAUAAAAACUAAGAUAAUACAAAAUAACAUCGAAUAAACAGAAAAUGAAUAUAAUUCUUUUGAAGCUCUGUCGCCCAUAUCCUGAAAAGGGAAAAAUCUGUAGGAAAGUGAGAACAUCGUCCUCGAAAGGGUUCUCAUUAUAGGGUUACAGAAUUGCUAUAAUAAGAUACGAGAAUAAAACCGGUUUUAAAGUACAGUGAUUAAUAACCGCCUUAUGCUUCUUUUCACAACCAAAGAUUUAAUAUUCAAAAUCCGAAAUCCUUUCUAAAAGGGAAAGCUGUUAAUUUCUCAGAAAUCUAAAAGCUUUUUUAAAAGUUUUUCCUAGACAGCAUGAAUGACCAAACUGUUCCAAGCAUAGGUUCAUUAAGUCUAUGCUGAACCAGUUUAGUUUUUCAUACUUUUCUAAACCUAAAGCACAAACCAAACACAGCUUUCAGUCCAUCUCAUAAUCAACCACGGCCCUAGGCCCAAGCAACUCAAUCAACAACCAAUUCAUCACAAUCCAACCAAUUUUCAGUCACAAACACAAUUAAGAAGGUUCAAACACAAUCAAGCAGUUAUAUCAAGUAGAACAAUUAGCAAUUAAACAUAACUAUUCACAUAGGCAAACCAAUUACAAUAUGCACACCCGAUGCAUGCCUGUCCUACUGGCCAUGAACUCACGCGUCGGUUAUGUUGCCAGACCCGACUCGGAUAAGCGGGAUUAAACCACCAUCCUUAUCCGUAGGUUCCACAAGCAAGUGGGACUAAACCAUCAUCCUUGCCCGGAACACGCAAGGGGGAUUAAAUCACCGUCCUUGCCAAAUAAUUUAUCAAUGUAUGAGCGGGACAAAACCACCAUCCUCACUGCAGGCGGGACAAAACCACCAUCCCUGUAUAACGGUUUACGCACUAAGCAAGCAGGACUAUACCACCAUCCUUGCCAGGCCAGAAACCCUCAUCAUAUUCUCAGUAACACCCACAGUCAAUCAGACUCAAAAUCUUAUUUCAAAAUUCAUUCUUGGCCCACUUUCAAAUCACAAACGUAUUCAGUUCACAUCUUGCCAAGAACCACUUUUCUUAAGUAAAUUUUCUUUUCAAAACUUUCAAACAACUUCAUAACCAAGCCAAAUUCAAAAUCUCUUCUAAAAGACUCAAAUCACUCAUUUUCAAAUCAUUCGCUCCACCACUUUGAAAUCAAAAGUUAUUAAUUAACAACCUUGGCAAAGACUCAAGAUUUUAGAGAAGAAUAACCUGCCUCAUUUCUUAAAUUCCUUAGAAAUCCUCGGAAUCAUAGUUACUUAAGUUGAAAUCAAUUAAAAUGAAGCUUUAAAAUCAAAAUCAAAGCAUGUAAGUCAAAAGUUCCGAACCAGUUUCAAAACCAAAAUUAUUUAAGCCCAAAGACCAAUUUCUUUUCGUUCUUAAAUCGGAAACUUUCCCAAAGGCUCGGAUUUGUUUAGUUAAAAUUUAAAGAAUACUUCAAAAGCAAUGCGAAAUUAAGUAAUCAAAGUUCAAUUUCCUUCAAAAUCCGCUAAAACUCCUCCAAAGGUACUUCUUUGUCCAAACUUUAAAACAUAAGUCCCUCAUGUUUAAAUCAAACUUAAAACAUAAACUUUCCUUAAAAGAUUAAACUUGAAUCACCUAUUUCUUAAUAAAUCAAGAACCAAACAAUAGAACCUCUUGAAUCCAAUCCUUUUCUAAAUCGUAUUUUAAAAAAAAUCUGGAAUUUCAUAAAAAAAUUGGCAGCAUCUCUCCUAAAACUUGGACUUUGCCACCCGUUUCGGGUCCCAACCAAACCAUUACGCAACCCCCUCCACGGGUUCAAAACCAAAUUAAUUUAAAAUCAGACUAAUUUCGAAAAUUCAUAUCCUUUUCAUAAUUCAAGAAAUCAGAUCCAAACUCAAUUCAUUUUCAAUGAACCAAACUCGUUUCCGAAAUUGUAAGGAAAUAUUUCAGCAACCAACCAUAUAACCAAAUCAAACCACAAUCCAAUCAAACCACAAACACGUUCAUUCCAAAAUAGCUCAGCAAAACAUAAGGCUUAUACAACCACUAAAAGUACAUUUAUCACAUUAAUAUCCAUUUAUAACAACUCCAAAUCAUAAAAUUAAGUUCUUUGAAAAAGCCCCUACCUCACUAAACGUAGCUUCUCCGUUAGUAGUUUCCAGCACCUGUUUCCAUGGCAGCAACAGUGACGAGGUUAAACGGCCUCCUCUCCUUUCCGAUUUGGGAUUCCAGUAGCAGCAGCAAUCUCCAAACAGAGCCAGCAAUUACCUCCGGUAACGGCAUCGGCAACGUAACUUACUAUAACCACUUUAUUCAAUACGAAUAGUUUCAGCAACAAGUUUCAAGAUAGAAACGAAUUGGUAGAACAAGGAAGAAUCAGAAACAAGGUAAGGCUUACCAAAACAGUAGCGGUUCUAACGGUUCAAAACGGAGCCAGAGCAACAGCAACAGCAACUCCAGCAGCGGCAGUGGAGUUCUUGUCAGAUUUUAGAAACCAGAAGCAGAACUGGCUAGCCUCUCUUCCUCACCAGCAACGGCGGCUCCGACUAAACCAGCGACGGGGGCUCCGACCACACCAGCGACGAUGGUGGCGGCGACGCAUGAAACUCCUCCAGCAGCGGCAACGUGGGGAUUGACGACGACAAACCUUAGUAGCAGCGGCGGCAGAAGUGGCUUCGACAGCAGCACCAAGGCGCGGCAACGGCGCGGUGGCGACGCAGUAGAGGCUCCCUCCUCCACUGACUCUCGGGCGGCUCUUACUUCUUCCCUGAGCGGCGUCGACGAACAGAGGUGGCGGCUCCUUGGACGACAGCUGCGGCGCGACCCUCUCCCUAUCUUGUCUGUGCGACAUGACGGCACGGCGGCAGUGACGCCCGCUGGCGCCGCCCUCACUCUCCCCUCCCCUUCCUCCGCGGAUCCCUCUCUUCUCUUCCCUUUCUAUUUCGGCUGAAGCUGCAUGUGUUGGUGUGUGUAUGUGUUGUUUCUUUUUCUUUGUUUACUGGUGGGGGGAAAGGCGGCUUAGGGUUUCAUUAGGGAUAGGGGGAAAAUGUGGUUUAAUUAGGGUUAGGGUUUGUGUAUGGA